rnacentral:rRNA from 1 species
CCCUUCGGGGACAUUGGUGACAGGUGGUGCAUGGUUGUCGUCAGCUCGUGUCGUGAGAUGUUGGGUUAAGUCCCGCAACGAGCGCAACCCUUGUCUUUAGUUGCCAUCAUUAAGUUGGGCACUCUAGAGAGACUGCCAGGGAUAACCUGGAGGAAGGUGGGGAUGACGUCAAAUCAUCAUGCCCCUUAUGCUUAGGGCUACACACGUGCUACAAUGGGUAGUACAGAGGGUUGCCAAGCCGUAAGGUGGAGCUAAUCCCUUAAAGCUACUCUCAGUUCGGAUUGUAGGCUGAAACUCGCCUACAUGAAGCUGGAGUUACUAGUAAUCGCAGAUCAGAAUGCUGCGGUGAAUGCGUUCCCGGGUCUUGUACACACCGCCCGUCACACCACGGGAGUUGGAGACGCCCGAAGCCGAUUAUCUAACCUUUUGGAAGAAGUCGUCGAAGGUGGAAUCAAUAACUGGGGUGAAGUCGUAACAAGGUAGCCGUAUCGGAAGGUGCGGCUGGAUCACCUCCUUUCUAAGGA